UGAAUGCUGUCAGGAAAGCAAGAACUGGGAUCCUGAUACUGAACACUUCACCAUUGCACUGAUCGUCUUUUGGGUCAUCUUCGCCCUCCUGUGCAUCUGUGGCCUUGUGAUGUCCAAAUGCCAAGGACUACAGCAUGACCUCAGACCAGCGGAUCAUCAUACUCCUCAAAAUCCACCCUCCAAAGCUCCUCUAGAGAGCAUUUGGGUCACCUCCGUGGAUCCCCUACCAACCAUUCGUUGUUCUGAAUUCAACUGAGACUGAAACACGUCCUCCCUAUAGCCUCAGGCCUGAAGGCUUACUGUCCAGAUGAGAGGGACUCGCUAUAUGCAACCCUAUCACCCACCUCACACACAAACCUCUUGGAGGCAGCCAAAGACCAUGGAAUGACUGCAUAUCCCAUCCUGUCUCUUGUACUGUGAUUGCAUUGAUUGUACUUUUAUACCGCUAUUCCUUUUUGUCAUGAGAGCUAAACUAGAUCUGUAAUCUCUGUCACACAAUAAAGGCUGUUGAUUUUUUUAAGAAUUGCCGGAGUCUGUGGUGGAUAUAAAAAAAUCAUUGGUCGUGGU
rnacentral:sRNA from 1 species